UAGGGAAUCUUCGGCAAUGGACGAAAGUCUGACCGAGCAACGCCGCGUGAGUGAAGAAGGUUUCCGGAUCGUAAAACUUUGUUGUUAGAGUAGAACAAGGACGUUAGUAACUGAACGUCCCCUGACGGUAUCUAACCAGAAAGCCACGGCUAACUACGUGCCAGCAGCCGCGGUAAUACGCAGGUGGCAAGCGUUGCCCGGAUUGAUUGGGCGUAAAGCGAUCGCAGGCGGUUUCUUAAGUCUGAUGUGAAAGCCCCCGGCUCAACCGGGGAGGGUCAUUGGAAACUGGGGGCCUAGAGUGCAGAAGGGGAGAGUGGAAUUUCAUGUGUAGCGGUGAAAUACGUAAAUAUAUGGAGGAACACCAGUGGCGAAGGCGGCUCUCUGGUCUGUAGCUGACGCUGAGGCUCGAAAACGUGGGGAGCAAACAGG
rnacentral:rRNA from 1 species